UACGUAGGAUGCAAGCGUUGUCCGGAUUUACUGGGCGUAAAGCGCGCGCAGGCGGCAGUGUAAGUAAGGUGUGAAAUAUCCCGGCUCAACCGGGAGGGUGCACUUUUAGACUACACAGCUUGAGGUCGGUAGAGGGGGGUAGAAUUGCUGGUGUAGCGGUGAAAUGCGUAGAGAUCAGCAGGAAUACCCGUGGCGAAGGCGGCCCCCUGGGCCGUACCUGACGCUGAGGCGCGAAAGCCAGGGGAGCGAACGGG
rnacentral:rRNA from 1 species